GUUGAACGCUGGCGGCAUGCUUUACACAUGCAAGUCGAACGGUAACAGGCCUUCGGGUGCUGACGAGUGGCGAACGGGUGAGUAAUGCAUCGGCACGUGCCCCGAGGUGGGGGAUAACGCAGCGAAAGCUGUGCUAAGACCGCAUGUGAUCUGAGGAUGAAAGCGGGGGACCAGGCAGCAAUGUUUGGCUUCGCGCCUUUGGUGCGGCCGAUGUCAGAUUAGGUAGUUGGUGGGGUAAAGGCCUACCAAGCCGACGAUCCGUAGCUGGUCUGAGAGGACGAUCAGCCACACUGGAACUGAGACACGGCCCAGACUCCUACGGGAGGCAGCAGUAGGGAAUUUUGGACAAUGGGCGCAAGCCUGAUGCAGCAAUGCCGCGUGCGGGAAGAAGGCCUUCGGGUUGUAAACCGCUUUUGUACGGAACGAAAAGGCUCUGGCUAAUACCUGGAGCUGAUGACGGUACCGAAAGAGUAAGCACCGGCUAACUACGUG
rnacentral:rRNA from 1 species